rnacentral:rRNA from 1 species
AGCGAACGCUGGCGGCAGGCCUAACACAUGCAAGUCGAACGAACCUUUCGGGGUUAGUGGCGGACUGGUGAGUAACACGUUGGAACGUGCCUUUAGGUUUGGAAUAACUCAGGGAAACUUGUGCUAAUACCGAAUGUGCCCUUCCGUGGAAAGAUUAAUCGCCUUUAGAGCGGCCCGCGUCUGAUUAGCUAGUUGGUUGCGGUAAUGGCUCACCAAGGCGACGAUCAGUAGCUGGUCAGAGAGAAUGAUCAGCAACAUUGAGACUGAGACACAGCCCAAAAUCCUAGGGGAGGCGGCAGUGGGGAAUCUAGCGCAGUGGGCGAAAGCCUGACGCAGCCAUGACGCGUGAAUGAUGAAGGUCUUAGGAUUGUAAAAUUAUUUCACCGGGGACGAUAAUGACGGUACCAGGAGAAGAAGCCCCGGCUAACUUCGUG